rnacentral:rRNA from 1 species
UACGUAGGGGGCAAGCGUUGUCCGGAAUCAUUGGGCGUAAAGCGCGUGUAGGCGGCCUAGUAAGUCCGUUCUGAAAGUCCGGGGCUCAACCCCGGGAGGCGGAUGGAUACUGCUGGGCUCGAGCACGGAAGAGGCGAGUGGAAUUCCCGGUGUAGCGGUGAAAUGCGCAGAUAUCGGGAGGAACACCAAUGGCGAAGGCAGCUCGCUGGGACGUUACUGACGCUGAGACGCGAAAGCGUGGGGAGCAAACAGG